UACGUAGGGUGCAAGCGUUAAUCGGAAUUACUGGGCGUAAAGGGUGCGUAGGCGGCUUUUUAAGUUUGGUGUGAAAUCUCCCGGCUCAACUGGGAGGGUGCGCCGAAUACUGAGAAGCUAGAGUGUGGGAGAGGAAAGUGGAAUUCCUGGUGUAGCGGUGAAAUGCGUAGAUAUCAGGAGGAACACCGGUGGUGUAAACGCUUUCUGGACCAUAACUGACGCUGAGGCACGAAAGCAUGGGGAGCGAACGGG
rnacentral:rRNA from 1 species